rnacentral:lncRNA from 1 species
GGGUGCCCUGUUCCUGCAGACACCCAAAGUCAGGCUGGACGGGCUCUGAGCACCUGAUCAGCUGUGAGUGUCCUUGUUUAUUGCAGGGCAGUUGGAUUAUAUGGCCUUUAAGGAUCCCUUCCAACUCAAACAAUUCUAUGAUUCUACGGUUCUGAAGCAGAUUUGUACCACAACGCUGAGCACAGGAAGUGAAACUGGGGAGCAAAACGUUACCUCAUGGGUGUCCAACCUUUUGGGCACUAUUGCAAAGAAUACCUCUACACAAUCCUUUUCUGUAUCAUCAUAUCAAAUUGUUGUACUUUGCUAAAUGAAAUUUAGAAUACUACCAUGAAGCAGAUAAGCAGAUUUCUGAGACCUCUUCAGUUGUGAGCGGUCCUUUUAUGAGCUGGAGGUUGCCCAGGCAAUGGAGUGAAUCAAAACCCUAUCUACUGUCAGAUACAGCUAUAUUCAGCCACACAGCCACAUAUAAGAAACUUUCAUCUAGCUGCCAGGACAUCCAGAGUGUGAAAGUAAGUAGCAUAGGCUCAUGCCACCUGCUAGCCCUAUACUGGUGUACAACAAGUGCUGCAAAGCCAUUUGCCAGCACAAUGUACUCUUGUUUCCUCUGCUUAAGUACUCUGCAGUUUUCCUGAAAAACUGUUUCAAAUGGUCAUCCAACACUAGUAAGUGUUUUGGUUUUUUUUUUUCAAAAAAUUGAUCUAGUGUUCAUUAUGGCACUUCAGGAAUGAAAAUAGCUGAAACCAAGCUAGAAAAAGGCUGUAUUAAAUGAACAAAUAUCACUUCUACCAGACAACUGUAAUAACUUUCAGUUACAGGGCUGUGGAGAAACUGACAGCAUCAUUUCUUUUGGAUACGAUGAUGUCACAGGGCACAACUCCGGUCUGUUGACUGAAGGAGAUUUUGUAUUCCCAUGUAUCUUAUCGUCAGCACUUUCCAAUCAAUUUUAUCCUUUUGAGGAAGGGAAGUGAGAGUUGGAGGUUGGGUUUUUAUUAGACACAGCUGGUCAGAGGGACGUCAUUUGUUCCUAAAGCAAGGGCUGUCUUUCAUAUGGAACCAUUAGCAAUGGGGGUAGAUGGUAGGCAGAGGGAAUCACUUGAAGUAGUUUCAACAGCUGGGGGUCAAAUUAUAGAGAAAAGUGGAGAGAAGUGAAAUUUAUAAUCUAUAAUUUGAAACCAAAAUAAGAAUGAGACAAGCUUAUUUGAAGGACUGAAAGGAAAAGGAUGUGAUAUAUGGCCUGAUACUGCCAAGCAAAAUGAACGCUGCCAUUGCACUAUUACUUUGCG